CUGCCAAUAGCUCUCGAACGUUAUUCGACAAGAAAUUAAAAUCCGGAAAUUGAAACACUUUCCUGAAUCAUUCCACGCCGAUAACGUAAUGGAAGAAGAUGUUAUCAACUCGUACAGGGAAGGUUUUGUUCGAUACAAUCGCAGGAAAUAAUAGAUUUUUAGAUAUAUAGACUGGCAUACGCAUGCACUGAAUAUUAAACAAAAGGUGUAUAAUUAAAAGUUUGUUCAACUUGGCAUGCAAAUAAAUGUUUUUAGUACCAGAUAAAGUUUAAGUUAAAAAAAAUCCUGACAACAGCAAAUAUUAACGCUGAUGGGAAAAAAAUGAAAUAGAACUUAAGAUUUCCAUGGUUCACCAUUACAACAAAUCCAGGUUCGGACUGGCUCCUCACUGCGGCGGGAGACAUGAUCUGGAGUCACCACGAUGUCCUGAUGGUGCAGACGAUCAACACCUCGUGCAGGUAAACGGACUCCAGACGACAACACUCGUUCUUACCUGUGCGGCCAGGGUUGGGUUUCUCGGCAUCUACAGUUCUGAGCGUUGGCCUGCGUACCAAGGUAAGGUCUCCUUUAAAUAGACAAGGUAGGCCAGGUCGUUACUGUGUCAUCAUCCACUACGACUUUAUAGAAUGAUGUACUUUUAUUAUCAAUGAGAGAGAG